GAUGAACGCUGGCGGCGUGCCUAAUACAUGCAAGUCGAGCGAACAGACGAGGAGCUUGCUCCUCUGACGUUAGCGGCGGACGGGUGAGUAACACGUGGAUAACCUACCUAUAAGACUGGGUUAACUUCGGGAAACCGGAGCUAAUACCGGAUAAUAUAUUGAACCGCAUGGUUCAAUAGUGAAAGACGGUUUUGCUGUCACUUAUAGAUGGAUCCGCGCCGCAUUAGCUAGUUGGUAAGGUAACGGCUUACCAAGGCGACGAUGCGUAGCCGACCUGAGAGGGUGAUCCGCCACACUGGAACUGAGACACGGUCCAGACUCCUACGGGAGGCAGCAGUAGGGAAUCUUCCGCAAUGGGCGAAAGCCUGACGGAGCAACGCCGCGUGAGUGAUGAAGGUCUUCGGAUCGUAAAACUCUGUUAUUAGGGAAGAACAAAUGUGUAAGUAACUAUGCACGUCUUGACGGUACCUAAUCAGAAAGCCACGGCUAACUACGUG
rnacentral:rRNA from 1 species